GAUGAACGCUAGCGGGAGGCUUAACACAUGCAAGUCGAGGGGCAGCAUAGGGUAGCAAUACUCUGAUGGCGACCGGCGCACGGGUGAGUAACGCGUAUGCAACCUAUCCUGUACUGGAAGAUAACCCGGAGAAAUUCGGACUAAUAUUCCAUAAUGAUAUUGAGAGGCAUCUUUUAAUAUUUAAAGUUACGACGGUACGGGCUGGGCAUGCGUAACAUUAGCUAGUUGGUAGGGUAACGGCCUACCAAGGCCACGAUGUUUAGGGGUCCUGAGAGGGUGAUCCCCCACACUGGUACUGAGACACGGACCAGACUCCUACGGGAGGCAGCAGUGAGGAAUAUUGGUCAAUGGGCGCAAGCCUGAACCAGCCAUCCCGCGUGAAGGAAGAAGGCGCUAUGCGUUGUAAACUUCUUUUCCAGGGGAAUAAAAUUUUGUACGUGUACGGAAUUGAAGGUACCCUGGGAAUAAGCAUCGGCUAACUCCGUG
rnacentral:rRNA from 1 species